CCUACGGGUGGCAGCAGUAGGGAAUCUUCCACAAUGGGCGCAAGCCUGAUGGAGCAACACCGCGUGAGUGAAGAAGGGUUUCGGCUCGUAAAGCUCUGUUGUUGGAGAAGAACGUGCGUGCGAGUAACUGUUCACGCAGUGACGGUAUCCAACCAGACAGUCACGGCUAACUACGUGCCAGCAGCCGCGGUAAUACGUCGGUGGCAAGCGUUGUCCGGAUGUAUUGGGGUUAAAGGUAGCGCAGGCGGUUGCUUAGGUCUGAUGUGAAAGCGUUCGGCUUAACCGAAGAAGUGCAUCGGAAACUGGGAGACUUGAGUGCAGUAGAGGACAGUGGAACUCCAUGUGUAGCGGUGGAAUGCGUAGAUAUAUGGAAGAACACCAGUUGCGAAGGCGGCUGGCUGGACUGCAACUGACGCUGAGGCUCGAAAGCAUGGGUAGCGAACAGGAUUAGAUACCCCUGUAGUC
rnacentral:rRNA from 1 species